rnacentral:rRNA from 1 species
UACGGGGGGGGGCAAGCGUUGUUCGGAAUUACUGGGCGUAAAGGGCUCGUAGGCGGCCAACUAAGUCAGACGUGAAAUCCCUCGGCUUAACCGGGGAACUGCAUCUGAUACUGGAAGGCUUGAAUCCGGGAGAGGGAUGCGGAAUUCCAGGUGUAGCGGUGAAAUGCGUAGAUAUCUGGAGGAACACCGGUGGCGAAGGCGGCAUCCUGGACCGGCAUUGACGCUGAGGCGCGAAAGCGUGGGGAGCAAACAGG